rnacentral:rRNA from 1 species
CCCUUAGAUGUUCUGGGCCGCACGCGCGCUACACUGAUGCAUUCAACGAGUUUCUUCCUGGUCCGAGAGGAAUGGGUAACCUUUUGAAAGUGCAUCGUGAUAGGGAUAGACUAUUGCAAUUAUUGGUCUUCAACGAGGAAUUCCUAGUAGACGUAGUUCAUCAGACUGCAUCGAUUACGUCCCUGCCCUUUGUACACACCGCCCGUCGCUCCUACCGAUUGAGUGGUCCGGUGAGGCUUUGGGAUCUGGGCGGAAAGAGCGUUUCGCUGUUUCUGCCCGGAAAACUCAGUCGAACCUUAUCAUUUAGAGGAAGGAGAAGUCGUAACA